rnacentral:rRNA from 1 species
GGUCAAGAUGGUAAGGGCCCACGGUGGAUGCCUCGGCACCCGAGCCGAUGAA